rnacentral:lncRNA from 1 species
AUGAUGUCUGCGGGAAAUCAGCCCUCACAUAUAAAGAAAGAUAGCGUGGGGCUGACGGACGCCAGUGGGCAUCCCCCGAGCUCCGGGCAGCACCCGGCCCGGCGGCUGCGGGCGGGAGAAGGGGAGAAGUGGCCCCGGUGUCGGCCCCGGUGUCGGCCGGAGCUGCCCUCGUUCGCGGCCCGGAGCCGGGCACGACCCCGCAGUGCUUUUCUGAGAGGAUCUCCUCCGAGAUUAAAGCUAAAUCCUAAGAGCAACCGAAUGGCUGCGCCUGGCUUUCCCGGGACUGGGAGGAGAGGGAGAAGUACGGUUGAAGAGCCGCUGGAGCGAGCCCGAGCUCCCGGGGGAGAAGGAAGGUUGGCCCGUGGAGAGGCAGCCAGCAGGUAUUUCAGUGACCGUUCCUUUGAACACGUUCAGUCUCUGCCUUUUCCAUCCGGAACGUCUUCCUCAGACCAACUGUGAUUUCUGCCGUAAUUCUUGAGUGUGUUUACGAUCGCUUCGGAGGAGAUGGUUGCCGCAGUGUGUGGCAAGUGCUUCUUCGAGAAAUCCAUCAGCCUUUCUACGGUGACUCCGAGGAAAGAGUCACUUUCGCGCAUUCCCAGGUGUUGCGAGGAGGAGAGAAGCAAAGGGCCGGGGCGCUCCAUGGGGGGUGGAAGGGGGGAGGGUGAAGGGGCACCUGGGGAGGGGAAUCCGCCCAGUGCGUGUGGGACCGCUUGCCGGUCAGGGCCGGGGAACGCGCCCCUUCUGCCGUAAUUAGUCGGAACAAUAAACAUAAUUGGAAUAAAAUCGGUUGGAAAUUC